rnacentral:rRNA from 1 species
AGCGAACGCUGGCGGCAGGCCUAACACAUGCAAGUCGAACGAACUCUUCGGAGUUAGUGGCGGACGGGUGAGUAACACGUGGGAACGUGCCUUUUGGUUCGGAAUAACUCAGGGAAACUUGUGCUAAUACCGAAUGUGCCCUUCGGGGGAAAGAUUUAUCGCCAUUAGAGCGGCCCGCGUCUGAUUAGCUAGUUGGUGAGGUAACGGCUCACCAAGGCGACGAUCAGUAGCUGGUCUGAGAGGAUGACCAGCCACACUGGGACUGAGACACGGCCCAGACUCCUACGGGAGGCAGCAGUGGGGAAUCUUGCGCAAUGGGCGAAAGCCUGACGCAGCCAUGCCGCGUGCAUGAUGAAGGUCUUAGGAUUGUAAAAUUCUUUCACCGGGGACGAUAAUGACGGUACCCGGAGAAGAAGCCCCGGCUAACUUCGUG